UCGCUGUGAAGAUGCAGUGUACCCGCGGCUAGACGGAAAGACCCCGUGAACCUUUACUGCAGCUUGACACUGAACUUUGACCUUACUUGUGUAGGAUAGGUGGGAGGCUUUGAAGCUGGAACGCUAGUUCCAGUGGAGCCGUCCUUGAAAUACCACCCUGGUAAUGUUGAGGUUCUAACUCUGUCCCGUGAUCCGGGACGAGGACCGUGUCUGGUGGGUAGUUUGACUGGGGCGGUCUCCUCCUAAAGAGUAACGGAGGAGUACGAAGGUGCGCUCAGCGUGGUCGGAAAUCACGCGUAGAGUAUAAAGGCAAAAGCGCGCUUAACUGCGAGACCCACAAGUCGAGCAGGUACGAAAGUAGGUCUUAGUGAUCCGGUGGUUCUGUAUGGAAGGGCCAUCGCUCAACGGAUAAAAGGUACUCUGGGGAUAACAGGCUGAUACCGCCCAAGAGUUCAUAUCGACGGCGGUGUUUGGCACCUCGAUGUCGGCUCAUCUCAUCCUGGGGCUGAAGCAGGUCCCAAGGGUAUGGCUGUUCGCCAUUUAAAGAGGUACGCGAGCUGGGUUUAGAACGUCGUGAGACAGUUCGGUCCCUAUCUACCGUGGGCGCUGGAAAUUUGAGAGGAUCUGCUCCUAGUACGAGAGGACCAGAGUGGACGAACCUCUGGUGUACCGGUUGUGACGCCAGUCGCAUCGCCGGGUAGCUAUGUUCGGAAGGGAUAACCGCUGAAAGCAUCUAAGCGGGAAGCCUACCUCAAGAUAAGAUUUCCCUAGGACUUUAUGUCCUCUAAAGAGCCGUUCGAGACUAGGACGUUGAUAGGUUGGAUGUGGAAGCAUAGUGAUAUGUGAAGCUGACCAAUACUAAUUGCUCGUGAGGCUUGACUAU
rnacentral:rRNA from 1 species